GGCAAGCAGGGUCACUAGGGCUGCUAAGGGAAAGGGAACCCAGAAGCCUGGCAUGAUGGCAAAAGGGAAAAGAGAUCAACCAAUCCAGAAGAACCAUUCCCAGGUGGAUCCAAGUAGUGCAAAAGGUGGACUGUAGGCCGGGCACGGUGGCUCACGCCUGUAAUCCUAGCACUUUGGGAGGCCGAGGUGGGCGGAUCAUGAGGUCAGGAGAUCGAGACCAUCCUGGCUAACACGAUACUGAUCUUAAAAGAACUCCUCAAAAAACUAUCUGCAUACAAAUCUAUGGCUCUCCAAAUUUUUCCUCGGAAACCCUAAGACUCUGCCUAUAGGGAAGGACACAGUAUAGUCACCUUAGAAGAUAUUUCUCAUGAUCAAAUUUAUAAAAGUGCAAAUAACAAUUAAAAGAACUUACAGAGGUGAUGCACUGGUAAGCUUAUAGUUUAAUUUCUCUUCAGAAUGAGGAUGAAGAAAGUAGAAAUAACAAUGCUAUAUGAAAAAUGGCUAAACUUGAAAUAAAGUCAUGUUUACCAGGAAUACCCAGAAUUCAUCUGAGUUGAAGCCACUGCCAUCAUCCUUAUUCUCUGAUCCAAGAAAGGCAUGUAACCUACAUAAAAUGUCUGUCAAUAUUUUCCACCCAUCUUGGAGGCUACAGUUAUAGCAGUGACCCCUCCAAAAACAGGAGACACAAGUUGGCUGACGAAGCAUCAGAAUCUCCUUCAAGAGGCAGCACUUACUUUUGAUAGGUUAUUCCCUAAGAAGGUGAUGUAACAGGCACAGCUGCAGGAGGCAGAUUCAUACACAAAUGAUUACAACAUAUUCUCAUGAGUGCUGUUGGAGGGGCAGGAACAAGGUGCAACAUCAGCACAGAGGCAAACCACCUGGAGAGUUCUGGGUAGGAUUUGAGAGGGAGGUGACACUCAAUUUACAUCUUAAAUGAGGAAUGGGAGCUUGCUGGGGUAAUGAAGAAGGAAGAGUUAUUAUUGCAAAGAAGAUAAACAAACAACACUGGAAAAAACCUUUCUUCAGGGGAAGAACUUCUGAAUUGAUUUGUUGUUUGUGCACUUGUUUGUUUCACACAACACCGCAUGAAUAAAAUUAGCAGUGGAAAAGCA